GAUGAACGCUCGCUACAGGCUUAACACAUGCAAGUCGAGGGGAAACGACAUCGAAAGCUUGCUUUUGAUGGGCGUCGACCGGCGCACGGGUGAGUAACGCGUAUCCAACCUGCCCAUCACUUGGGAAUAACCUUGCGAAAGUAAGACUAAUACCCAAUGAUAUCCCACGAAGGCAUCGGAAUGGGAUUAAAGAUUUAUCGGUGAUGGAUGGGGAUGCGUCUGAUUAGCUUGUUGGCGGGGUAACGGCCCACCAAGGCAACGAUCAGUAGGGGUUCUGAGAGGAAGGUCCCCCACAUUGGAACUGAGACACGGUCCAAACUCCUACGGGAGGCAGCAGUGAGGAAUAUUGGUCAAGGGGCGAGAGCCUGAACCAGCCAAGUAGCGUGCAGGAAGACGGCCCUAUGGGUGGUAAACUGCUUUUAUAAGGGAAUAAAGUGGGUCACGUGUGACUUUUUGCAUGUACCUUAUGAAUAAGGACCGGCUAAUUCCGUG
rnacentral:rRNA from 1 species